CAAGGGAUGGCGUGAGUAGGAACUGGCAAGGUAAGAGCAUCCAAACCAACAGGAGAUUGUGUAGGAAUUCAUUUACGCCAAUGUUUUGAGGACAUGACCAGAAGCAACAUCUCAACAGAUUGAAAAAAUGCUCUGGAGAAUGGCUGUUACGCAGCUCAUUUUAUUUUUUUGUUUUAUUUGUUUGCAGUUCAUUUUAUACAUUUGGAAUCAAAGGAGAAAAACAUAAGGAAGGUUACCUGAACUCCAUCGUUGGUCGAUUAAAGAGGCAGGAGAAAGCAAAGCGAGGACAUCUCCAGGACUGUAUAAAAAGCCAAACGGAGAAACACUUCUUUUUCAUAGACCCACAGUCCUGUAGCAGUUCCCUGACCAGUCCUGCAAUGGAAAUUGCCCUGGAUCUGUCCUUCUGCCCUUCAACCUUGCAUAGUGGCCACCCUUUGGGGAAGAUCCUGUCGUCACACCCAUUCUACAAGAGAGAAGAUUGAGAGGUUAAAUAACAUAAGCACAAGGCCACACAGCUGGUAAGCGGCAGGACCAGGAUGGCAAACCCAGGUGGUCGCCUGAGCUACUAACCACAGCACUACUGUGUCCUGCAAUGAACUUCUGGGGAGUGUUGUUGUGAGAAUUAUACAAGCUAGUAUAAAUAAAGCACUUAAAGCUAUGCCUGGCACUUAAUAAGAGCUCCCAUAAAUGGUUAGUAUUACUAAUUUAUUAUCAUUAUUACCUCUAGGUGAAAAGGCUGCCUUUGACUUGUUGGGGUUGCUAUUGUAAUAAACCUGGUGUCUUUUCUUUUUUUUUGUUA